rnacentral:lncRNA from 1 species
GCUCCAAUUACAACGGAUUCAGGAUCAGUUGCAACACCCUAUGACUUUGGAGCAGGGGAAAUAACAACAUCUGAACCAUUUCAACCCGGGCUAGUUUAUGAAACCACCACCGUUGACUACUUGAAUUACUUGUGUUACCUUGGAUUCAAUAUAAACACAAUUAAGGUUAUCUCCAAAACUAUCCCAAAUAGUUUCAGUUGCCCCAAGGAUUCAACUAAUGAUCAUAUUUCCAACAUCAACUACCCUUCCAUAGCAAUCUCCAACUUCAAUGGGAAAGGAACCGUGAAUGUGACUAGAACUGUUACCAACAUUGGUGAAGAGGAUGAAACUGUCUACACUCCUAUCAUCGAUGCUCCGAUUGGGGUGGAUGUUAAGUUGAUUCCAGAUAAACUUCAAUUUAAAAAAAGUAUAAAGAAAUUGAGCUUCAAAGUUGUUUUCUCGUCGACUUCAACCUUGGAGGAAGAUCUGUUUGGAUCCAUUACCUGGAGUAAUGGUAAACAUAGUGUUCGAAGUCCUUUUGUAUUAGCUAUUUAGCUAAAUUUAAAGAAAUAUGAAUAAAUGCAAGCUCAUUUCUUGUAAAUUCCUACUCAUGUGUUGUUAAUGUUAUUUACCCUUUUGUUCUAACUGACACUACACUACGAGUUAAAUUUAUGUGAUUUUCAUAGAUUUUAAGUAAGUCGAAGUAAUUUUAGGCAACUUAUUUUUUAUGGGAAAAUGUAAACCAAAAGUAAAAUUGUUUGUUUGCAUAGAUAUUACUAGUGUUUUAAAUUGUAACUCUUGGUUAGGAUAUACUUUGAACAACCUAUGAUAAAUGUAAAGUUAGCCUCAAAAUUAAUCUUAAAAGCCAUAAUAUAUGUCAUAGACUCAUUGUUAUGCUGCCAACAUCAUUUCCAAUUACAAUAUUUAUGAUCGUUAUAUUAUUACUUCUUCUUCUCGUAUGAUCAAUUUUACUGGAUAGAGUUGAACUGCCUCCACAUUAACAUGCGAUUUAGUAACUAGUUCUCGUUCUUCUAUUUUCUUCCAUGUUUGUUGAAUUUCCUUAAAAGAUUGAAAUUCCGCAUUAGGUUUAAUAGCGAGUUCUCAUUCUUCUUUUACUCGUUAUUCUAUUUUCUUCCAUUUCUAUUGGAUUUCCAUAAAGCCAUAUGGAUAAAUCAUAUUUAACUUCUAAAAUUUUAAAUUAUUCUUUAUCAGACAAAAAAAUUACUUUUUAUUUUUCGAAAUAUGCUCUUAACAAUUUACUUUAAUUGCGAUAAGAAAAAAGUCCGUUGCACUAUUUAUUUGUCACUUUCAAUAUAAAAUUCACUUUCAAACUAAAAAGAAUAAACUAAUAGUAGUUUUUUUUUCAAUUAUAUUUUCUUGGCUGUUUUGCAUGAACAAAGUCUUAUAAUAUUUGAUUUAAGUAAUUGAUAAAAAAUAAAUAAAGAAAAAUAAAUUUAAUAAUAUUAAUAAAUUUUACUUGUUAAUAUUAAUAAAUAAAGAAAAAUAAAUUUAAUAAUAUUAAUGACACGAAAUAUCACUAGCAGUCAAUGGAGCAAAAUAUGAACAAAAUAUUUUAUAAUUUAUUGUAUAAAUAUAUAUGAAUAAAAUAUAUUUUGUGGGUUUCAAAACACAUUAGUUAAAAUAUUUUCAAAACAAAAUAUGAACACAUUAGUUUCAAAACAUAUGAAAAUAUUUUGUAAAAUACAUUAGUUGUAGUUUUCAAAACAAUGGCACACAUUUAAAAUUGUUUGUUUUUAAUGCAUAAAUACAUGUGAAAAGUAUAAUACACUAAUUAUAAAUAACUAUUCAAAUAUACAAAUACUUAUAACUCAUCAAAUAGAUCAAUGAUUAAAAAACAAAAAAAUAAUUAAAAAAGAUUAUCAUUCUCAAAACCGUUUUGUUUUUUUUGCAAAGACAGAGAAACUUUCAUUCAAAUUAACCUCUACAAACACAAGGUGUGCAUACUAGGAAAAUACAUACUGUUAAAAUCCAAUUCAAUCACUAAUUACAACCACUCAAUACUAUCUAAAAUAAAACACAAAUAAAAUUCUAUUAGACCAUUCAAAAUCCAAAUAAACUUUAUUACCAUGCUCUUACCCGAUUCAAAAUUUAGGCACAAUAGCUCAUACUUCCCUUCACUUAAUUUUAGAUAACACUUCAAUUAUUAACUGUUUUUUUUCUUUUUCGAUUUGGUCAUUUAUUUAAUUUUAUUACAAAAAUUCAAAAAAUAUAUACAAUAAAAAUAUGAGUUUAUUUGAAUAUUUGAGUUAUAAAUUUUAUGAAAUUUAUAUUAUAUGGAAGAUGAUAAUUAAUUUUAUGAAUUUUAUUUGAAAAUUUUGAUGAAUUUUUUUUAAAAAAUGAUAACAUUAUUAAUAUUUUAAAACACAAAAGAUCAAAUUGUUUACUUAAAAUUAAAUAAAUGACUAAAUUAGGGAGAGAAAAAAAUAAAUGACUGAAGUGUUAUCUGAAGUUAAGUUAAAGACCACAAGAACAAUUAUGCCAAAACUUUAUUAUACAAAUUAUAACGGCCACAUAUAAAACAAAUUUUUUUUGUUUAUAAUUUCAACGAGAACAAAAUAAUAAUUACAAUAUUAAGUCCACAAAAAUUAUAUGGAUAAAAUAGUUAUUAUUUAGAUAAACCACCAUUUAAGUCUUGGAAAAUAUAAUAUGUUAUAUUUUGGUCUAAGUUAAUCAUUGAAUCAUUAAAAUGUCUAUCAGUUUAGUCUAUGAUGUUACAAUGGUCAUUGAUCUAUUUUAACAUUAAAUUAUAUCUUUAAAGAACUUUUAUAAUAAUAAAAUUGUAUCUUUCAGAUAUUAUUUUGAUUAUUCAUAUAUUAAUUUGGUUUUUUUUUUAUUGAAUCAAGAAUGAAAUCAGAGUCUUAUAUAUUUUACUAAAAUUGCAGUUUAUCAAUUUUUCUUUUAUGUAUUUUUUCAUUACUUAAUUAGAUGAUUUUGAAGAUUGCAUUUAUCAUUUAUAUCAACCAUAUUUUAUAUUUUUUUCUUCCAUAUUUUACAAUUAAAUUUAUUUUCUAAACUAUUUAUAUAUCGUCUAUCUUCGUAUAAUAAUUAAAGUCGCGUGACUUAUGCGAAUGCAUGUAUAUUUUACUAGUUACUCUUCAUAAAUAAUUUUAACAAGUGCUCGUUUAGACCGAAUUCAAUAAACUAGUGGAUAUGUUUUACCAAAAUGCUUGUCUAGUAAGAUAACGAUAAAUCUCCACAAAUUAGAAUACAGCAUGAUUAAUUUCUAGUUUGAUCACUCUUCCAUUCUCAUAAGACAAUAAUUAGACACAAUAAUUCACGCACAAGCCCACUUACAUGUCAUAAUAUAGUGAAGGUCAAUUAUGUGUGACUGAGCUUGUUAUAAUUUUUAAUUAGAAUUAACAUACCCACAAUUUUUACCAAGACAUUGAAUUAUUCAGACUAAUUGCAAAGAUAUGGAAACUUAAUCGCUGAUCAGCUGAAUCACAUGGUGUUAUUGUUAUCAUAUAUGAUGUUGCUUUAGUUUCUAAAAGAUUCCUAUAAUUAGAGAAUUUAAUUUAUGACAAGGCAAUACAUGCAGCAAGAGUUUAUAUUUUUUCUUCUUUUAAUAUGAUUUUCAUUGAUUGUUAUACGGUUUUGUGUUUUCUUCUUCUAAAAUACUCUUAUCGUAAUUGUGUUUAUAAAUCACAAUUUAAAACUAUAUGUUCAUAUAUAGUAUAUUCCCAAGCAUUGAUUACUAUAAUUUACAUUGUGUAUUCAGAAUUCGUUGCAUUUUAUCACAUGUAAAACUAACUAGUUGCUACCUCCACUUAUUGAGUGGUAGUUAUAUAUCGACUUAUCGUAUAUAUUUGUGGUUAUAGCACAAAAAAUAGUAUAUAUUUACGCAGCUUUAUAUCUUCAAAUGGGGCACUUUGCGUGGAUGAAAUGCUUCAUGCCAAUUUGCAAUGCGCAUAAGCAAUACGCAUGCAUCAACUCCACAAUAGCAUAAAUUAUAGAACUUUUAAUGGAUAUGUAUUAUCGUGUAAAAAAUAUCACACAUACAUUGAAUUAUAUCUCAUCGUUAUGUCAUUAAGUUAUAUUUGUUUUUUAAAAAGUCUUCAUAAAAUCUAUAUGGUAAAAUUUGAUGAAAUGUUAUGUAAAAUAUUUUAAGGGUUUAUAGGAUAUGUAUUGUCAUGUGAGUCAUUGAUCGUGUAAUAUUAUUGAUCGAUGAAAAUUACAAUUAUAUGGUAAAAUAAUAAAAUCAAUCAUUUUUAUUAAAUAAUACAAAUGUAAAAUUGAUUUAUACCACUUUUUUUAUGUAUAUUUUCUUUUUAUGAUGAAAAGGGGAUAAGUCCAAGCAAUACAAGAAUCAUCAUAUGUCAAUAAAACAUUGAAAUAAAAGAAGAAAAAUCCUCAAAACCCUCUAGCUUUGAAUGUGAUAAAUCAACAAUAUAUGACGAAAGCACCUACAAUAAUUGAUCAUGAAUACGAUCAUAAGAACCAAUAUACACUCUGAUUUUACAAUAAUUUAUGCUCAAAAAAUUACUCUGACACAUUAAAUUAAUUAAUUCAUCUCCGAUGGAAGUUGCUUCCACUAAAAAGAAACGAAACCAAAUUAAUAGCCACCACACAUUGGGCUAUAAGAAAUAUGAUGCCUAUUUAGACCGGUCAUAUAUUAUGUCAAUAUUGUGGGAUGAUUUGUUGAAAAUAUAAUCAUUUAAAGUUAUUUGUAAAAUCUAUUUAAUAAUUUUUUCAGAAAUAUUGAAUUGAAAGAAUUGAGUAAUUAUUAAAUGUUAAUAUUAAAAAUGUUACAAUAAUUUAUUGGGCUUAUGUAAUUAGGCCUUUUCUAUUUUUAAGUUAGUAGUUAAGUCCUUUUAUGUUUCACUAUUUACUCUCCUUGUAAUUCUUGUAUUUACAAAAAAAUUUUGUAUUCUAUAUUGUUAGAUAAUGUUAUUAUAUAUUAGUAGUAAAAGUAUUUUAGACAUUUCUAUUCUUUUAUAUAUAUACUAAUUGUAAUCCUAUUAACUUAAAUUUGGUUCAUUCUAUGUUAUGAAACCCUAGAGUGGUUGCCUCUCUUCUUCCUUUUUUCAUUGUUAACAUGAUAUCAAAGAGCUUUGGUUGAUUUUGGGAUCUAUUAUAAAGAAGAGAGAGAUUAUUUUGAUAGGAAAGACAACCACCAAAAGAGAAAAGAGAAUAGUAACCCUAUUCUCGAUUUUGUUAAAUCAGUCUCACAAAAACAUUGAUUGCGCAUUCGUUAACCGUUGGAUCGGACUGCUUUUUUGGACAGAAGGUUCGCAACAUUCAGGUCUUCGUCUUCAAUGGUCGGAUCAGCGAAACACCGUCUGUAGGAGGAGAAAUCGGGCUCGUACAUCACCAGAUUAUCUCGAAUUUAUUUUGUCUCAGUGAUUGUGUUUGUCGUAUUUUCCUGUCAUUAUUUGUUAUGGCUGGUGCUAAGGAUGAUUCUCUUCAAGCACAUUGGAAAAUACAUUGUCCAAAAUUGUGGAGAGAAGAAUUUUAGGGGGCCAUCGUCCAAUGUUGUUGCUUCUGCUCCUUCUACCAUUGGUUUGGCUCUAGUUCUGGUUCUGUAUACUCAUCUGAGAUUGUUUUCCAAAUAUCUGAUAUUGCAGAACAACUUCAAAAACUUCUUGUCACUCAAUCACAUGCUAUGUUUUCCACCUCUUCUAAAGGUUUGAACUUCUCUAGUAUGUUAGAUAUAUCUCCUUCUAUAUGGAUUCUUGAUUCAUGAGCAUUUCAUCAUAUGACAUACGAUGAUAAAUCUUUUGUGUCUGUGAAACAUGUCUCGUAUGUGUCAGUUAUGACUGCUGAUGGCACUCAUAUGCCACUAGCAGGCGUUGGUUCUGUCUCCACACAUAACAUGUCUCUUUCUGAUGUUUGUUUGUUAUGAUCAGUAUUAAGGAAUUAAUUUUGGUUUGGUUCACAUGUUUUCAAUUGUUGUGGUUCUUUUUUGAUUUGGUUGGUAAUUUAAUUGUUCGUUUCUCCUAUCUCUUUGGUUGUUUUCUUCUGUGUUGUUGCUCUCUCUUUUGCUUCUUUUGUUUGAUUGUUCCUCUCUCUAGUGAUUUGCUUUGUUGCUUCUCUCCAUAUUGAUUGUUCUAUUUGUUUGCGCUUCUCUCACGUGGUUCAUCUAUUUGGUUGUUUUUCUCUUUGUUUAGUUUGAUUUGGUGUAGUUUAGUUUGGUUUGAUAUGAUUUAGUUUUGUUUGGUUCUAUUUGGUUUGGUUUGUUUUGAUUUGGUUUCGUGGUGCUACUUCUUUGGUUGUUCCUAUCUGUUGAUUUUGAUAUUGGUUGAUUUGAGCUUUAGUUUGAGGGGUUGUUUCAAUAUUAGGAAAUUUUAGCGGAGAUGUUAAGUAGAAUGUUAUUGGGCUUUUAUAUUAUAUAUUAAGGUUUGUUUUGAUAUGGUUGUUGCUCCUUUUUUUUUAUCGCUCCUUUUUCAGUUUGAUUUUUUGUUGGCUUGGUUCUUCUCUUGAUUGUGAUUAUUUGAUAUGAUUUGUUGGUUUGGUUUCUCUCUUUAUUGUGAUUGUUUGGUAUAGCUAAUGAUCAUCUCUUUGGCUUCUGCUUCUUCUUUCGUUGCUUCUCUCUUUGUUGGUUCUUCUCUUUGAUUGUUGCUUCUUCUUUGGUGACAUCCCUCUUGUGCCCCCGGCUGUCCAACCACCUCCUGCAAUUGUUGAUCCUCUUCGUUACCCCUCUCGUAAACUUUGUCUGAGCCCUCUUCCUAUAAAGAGGUUGAUCUUGAUCCUCUUUGGCAGCAGACUACGGCAGAAGAACUAUCUGCAUUGCACAAAAUCAAUACUUGGAAAUUAGUACCCCUUCCUCCUGAAAAACGUGUUAUUGAGUCUCGUUGGGUAUACAAGAUCAAAAGUAAAUCUAAUGGGUCAGUUGAGUGCUACAAAGCACGUCUUGUUGCUAAGGAUUUCUCUCAACACUAUGGUAUGGAUCAUGAAGAAACUUUUGCUCUUGUAGCCAAGAUGACCAGUAUUCGUACUAUUCUUCUUUACAGAUUGCUGAUUUGUUCACAAAGAUGCAUUCCAUUAAACUUUUUCGUUUUUUAGUUGACAAACUCUCGAUGUUCCAUGUUAAUGCAUUGUGAGUUUGAUGGGAGAUGUUAGAUAAUGUUAUUAUAUAUUAGUAGUAAGGGUAUUUUAGACAUUUCUAUUCUUUUAUAUAUAUACUCAUUGUAAUCCUAUUAACUUAAGUUUGGUUCGUUCUAUGUUAUGAAACCCUAGAGUGAUUGCCUCUCUUCUUCCUCUUUUCAUUGUUAACAUAUAUAAUUAUUUAUAUUGUUAAAAUAUAUAUAUAUAUAUAUAUAUAUAUAUAUAUAUAUAUAUAUAUAUAUAUAUAUAUUUUGUGUGCAAAUUUCUGAUUUAUAUCUUAAUUACCGUAAAUCAUAUAAUUGGUUGCUGACACAAGAAAGCACCAACUUAAUUAUUAUUAACUUAAAAUAGACCCAUUGCUUCUUAUAUAUAUAUAUGUGUUCUAGAGUUACCAAGCAUGGUCAUCAGAAACUAAUUGAACACAAAACAGUUCAUUAAGAGAACAUAACGAUGAAGAUGAAAGGAAAUCCAAUUUUAUUGAUAGUAGUAUUAAAUUUGUUUGGUGUAAUUUGUGUUGGAGAAUCAAGAAAAUCAUCAGGUGAUAUAAGUGAAACAGAGAAUGAGAAGAAAGUAUAUAUUGUGUAUAUGGGAGCAGCUGAUUCAUCAAAUGCUUCCCUUCGCAAUGAUCAUGCUCAUCUAUUAAACAGAGUGUUAAGAAGGUAAUGAAUGAAUUAAAGCAUUAAUUGCAUGUGGAAUGAAUGAAUGAAUGAUAAUAGUAAUAAUAAUUGAAAUGUGAAAUGAAUAGGAAUGAGAAAGCUCUAGUAAGAAACUACAAACACGGAUUCUCAGGCUUCGCAGCUCAUCUAUCAAAAGAAGAAGCAAACUCAAUUGCUCAACAACCUGGUGUUGUUUCUGUCUUCCCUGAUCCCAUUCUCAACCUUCACACUACACGUUCAUGGGAUUUCCUCGACUUGCAAACUCAUGUCAAAAUCGACACUCACUCAGAUUCUUCUUCUUCUGCUUCUUCUUCUUCAUCCAACGUCGUAAUUGGCUUACUAGACACAGGUUAUUGUUUAUUGAUUAAAAAAAUUUACGUUAUAAUUUAUAGAGGACGGAGGCAUAAUUAUUUGUUGAUAUAAAAAAAAAUGAUACAUAUGUAUGUACGUGUUAAAUAACAUAGAUUCAGUAAGUGAUCCUUAUCAUGAAUUAAUUUGAUUGGUAGUGGAUUGAUUGGUUUAAUCAUUUAAUUAAUGAAAUGAAAGAAUGAAUAUAUUCAGGUAUAUGGCCAGAAGCAGUAAGUUUUUCAGACAAGGGAAUGGAUUCAAUUCCAUCCAGUUGGAAAGGCAGUUGCAUGAAAUCAAUUGAUUUUAACUCAUCCAACUGUAACAGGUAAAUAAAAAAUACAAGCACCAGGGUUGUUUAUUAUUAUUUGUGUUGUGGGGUCCAUUAGAUUAACAGCUGGCAUAAAUGUAAUUUUAAUUUUGAAUAGGAAGUUAAUAGGAGCAAGGUAUUACCCAAACCCUGACCAGAAAGAUGACCCGGACAACACGCCAAGGGAUACAUAUGGACAUGGGACCCACACGGCGUCGACGGCGGCAGGUAGCGUUGUCAGUGGAGCAUCUUACUACGGUAUCGGGGAAGGUACAGCACAAGGUGGGUCCCCUGAAUCGAGAUUGGCGGUAUACAAAGUGUGCUUAAAAGACAUUGGGUGUUCUGGUUCGUCCAUCCUUGCGGGGUUCGACGAUGCGAUUGCCGAUGGAGUUAAUGUGCUUUCGCUGUCGCUUGGCGCGUCACCGGAUUUUCGACCCGAUUUGGCAACCGACCCGGUUGCAAUCGGAGCGUUUCAUGCUGUGGAGCGUGGCAUUCUCGUGGUUUGCUCCGCUGGGAAUUCUGGACCAGAUCCCGAAACUGUUGUUAAUGAUGCUCCUUGGAUUUUUACCGUUGGAGCCACUACCCUCGAUCGCUUUUUUCAAUCCAAUGUCGUAUUGGGUAAUAACAAACUUAUUAAGGUACUAUUUCUUUUAUACUUUGCUAUAUUCCAUUUACUUUUUAUUCUUUUUUCUUUUUUUUUUAACGAUAUACUCAUUUACUUUUUAUUAUUUUGAAAAUUCCUAACAAUUUUCAGACUUUUCUUUUUCGACAUAAAUAAAUACGUCUCAUAAAGAAAAUUAUAGUUAUUUCUACAAAUUAAUUAUUAAAUAAACAUACACAAAAUUAUAAGUUAUCAACGGUGUAGCAUUCGGUGUAUGGUCUUCAUACUCAAAUUUUAAUUGGUUGUAGGGUAAAGUAGUUUGGGAGAAGAACAUGAAGAUUGAAGACCCUAUAAUAAAAUUUACAACUAGCUGUUAAUAUUAAUCAUUUCAUAAAAACUAAUGUUUGCAGUAAAAGUAUUUUAGGAUGAAUUUUAUGAUUUUGAUAUAUUUAUUAAUUGUAUAUUUAUAUCUAUUAUUAACAAGUAAAUUUAAAAAAAAAACAUAGAUAUUUCAGUAUUCAAUCCAACAUCGUUUAAUCCAAUUCAAUUUAUUACCAAACUCAAUUCAAUGUUAUCUCCAUAGUUUGAAUUUCAAUUUUGAUCAAACUCAACUGACCCACGUCAACUUCUAUAACACUUAUUUACUUCACCAUACAUUAGUAUAGAAAAAGAAAAGGCAAUAAUAUUCCCUUGCUUUUUCUAGACGAGUUGGAUAUAGUAUAGGUACUAGGGUUUAUAUUAAACAUUUACUAUACUUUUUAUUAUCUACAAAUAAUUUUUUAAAAUAAUUUUGGAAUAAUAAGCUGUUUUAAUCCAACUUUUUUUUACUUUUUUCAAAAAGUAUUCUCGUUUCUUAUGUAUUCAUUAGAUUUUUUAGAAAAACUAUUUCAUUUUAAAAAUUUAAUCAACACAUAAAUAUUUAUUGGGUUUUUAUAUGUAGACUAUGUGUGUAUGGUUAUCAAACUAUUGUUUAAAAUUGUACAUGAAUUGUGUUUGCUAUCUGUGCUCAUGCUUAAUAAUUGUUAUACUUUAGGGUGAAGCCAUAAAUUUAUCCCCUCUUUCAAAAUCCCCCGAUUAUUCUUUAGUACAUGGUGAGUCUGCCAAAGCAAUUAGCGCCAGUUUAGAUGAUGCAAGGUACGUACACAAAAUCUAUCUGGUAAUGAAUAAACUUAUUGUGGCUAUUUUCAUUUUCACCUUUAACAAAAUUGUUUUUGAAACUGUACUUUUAAACUGUAUAAAUUAUUAAAUUUAAUUUGUUUAUAUGGUUAAUAUAAAAAAUAUUUACACUGUCAGCGAAGCGAACUAUAACUGUUAGAUCAUUAGAAAUAUUUAACUUUUACAGUGUAAAUUUUUAACUGUUAGAUCAUUAGAGAUAUUUAACUUUGACAGUGUAAUUUUUUUUACAUUAAAAAUAUAUGACAGUCAAUCUCUAAAUUAUUUAAAAAUGUACUUUUAAACAAUAUAAAAUAAAUUUUAUUUUCCGAAUGUUUACAUCCAAACUCAGGUUAGAAAUUUUUUUCCAAACUUGUUAGGCAUAAAGAGAAGCCUAGCACCCCAAGAUUUUGAAGUUAUGAAAAAAAAUAUAUAAUUUGUGAAAUGCAGGAAGUGUCACCCAAAUUCAUUAGAUGAGAAAAAAGUGAAAGGAAAGAUUGUCUUAUGCGAUGGCAUAGAUGAUGUUUAUUUGACUGGUUUUAAAGUUCAACUGGUGAAAGAUGCGGGUGGAAUAGGUCUUGUUCAUGUUACUAACCAAGAUCUCACAAUGGCCACAAAUUCUGUUGACUUCCCAGCAACUGACGUAAAUCCCAAAGAUGCUGCCACACUCCUCCAAUAUGUCAAUUCAACAAAGUAAGUAAUGCAGUAUUUUUUAUUUAUUAUAAUGCAUAAACAUAACAUGUUAUGAUAUCUUAUUAUAAAGGUUUAAUUGUAGAAACUAACUUUUAUAAUAAGAUUACAAUUACAAUUGAAACAGAAUUAUACACACUAUAGAGAAUGCAGAAUUAACACAUUCAGACUAGUCAAUAUGAGUUACCUACCAAGAAUUAUAGAGGCUUGUUGCAAGGAAAUUCUUAUCUAUGAAAAGAGUUUUGGUCUUUCCCUCCUCCCAAACCACUCAAUAACUUUCCUCUUCUGCUUUUAAUGGAAUAUUGAUGUUGGAGACUCAUUACAAUAUCGUAUUUUUCCAUGGACAAAAAGUAAAAAAUAAAAUUGCAAAGUUGUUAUAUUUACGUAGACUAAACAUAUAUUUUAACCUAUUAUAAAUCAUGUAUGUCUAACGACAAAAAUAACUCGGUAAACAAGCUCACUAUUUUUUAAGUAACUAAUGCUUUUCUUAGAAUUUGCUUUUACAUAUAAUAAUCUGCAGGAAUCCAGUGGCAACAAUUCUACCAACAGUUACAGGCAUUAAUUAUAAGCCUGCGCCCGUGGUGGUAGCCUUUUCAUCCAGAGGGCCUUCAGCGCUUUCAAAGAAUAUUCUCAAAGUAAGGAUAUAUAUAUAUGUGUGUAUAUAUAUAUAGAGAGAGAGAGAGGAUUAUAAAUCAUGUGACUAUAUCAUAUCAAUGUUUGCUCAGAACUUAACAGGAUCAGUUUCUUUGUGUGUAGCCUGAUAUUGCAGCACCAGGAGUUGACAUUCUUGCAGCAUGGAUUGGCAAUGACUCAUCAAGGGUUCCAAAAGGGAAAAAGCCCUCACCAUAUUACAUUGCCUCAGGGACUUCUAUGUCAUGCCCACAUGUUUCAGGCCUUGCAGGCAGCAUCAAAGCUCAGAACCCUACUUGGAGUCCCUCUGCAAUCAGAUCAGCAAUCAUGACCUCUGGUCAGGCUUUUCAUUUUUAUACAAAUGAAUCAUCAAUUUAGUCUCCAAAUAUCAGUAAUUUUGAAUACUAAAAUGAUUUCUAAAAUAAAAAAUUAUUGGUCGUUUUAAGUCAAUUGAUUUAGUCUCUAAAUAUUGACACACUUACAAAGACUAAUGCGAUCAAAGAUUUUUAAAAUUUUAUAGAUCAUUUAGAAAUCAAAUUGUCUAACUAUUACAAUUUCACAUAUUAAAUUUGACUAUUCACGUAAUGUAAUAUUGAAUUAGAUAAUGAUAUCUAUCUAGCAACUCAUAAACUCCUAUUUUUUUAAAUGCAGCAAAUCAAAUUAACAAUAUGAAUGCUCCUAUUACAACUGAUUCAGAGUCAGUAGCCACGCCUUAUGACUAUGGAGCAGGGGAAAUAACAACAUCUGAACCAUUUCAACCAGGGCUAGUUUAUGAAACCACCACCGUUGACUACUUGAACUACUUGUGUUACCUUGGAUUCAAUAUAACCACAAUUAAGAUUAUCUCCAAAACUGUCCCAGAUAGUUUCAGUUGCCCCAAGGAUUCAACUCCUGAUCAUAUUUCCAAUAUCAACUACCCUUCCAUAGCAAUCUCCAACUUCAAUGGGAAAGGAACCGUGAAUGUGACUAGAACUGUUACAAACGUUGGUGAAGAGGAUGAAACGGUCUACUCCUCCGUUGUGAACGCUCCGAGUGAGGUGAAUGUCAAGUUGAUUCCCGAGAAACUCCAAUUUUCGAAAAACAGCAAAAAACUAAGCUACCAAGUUAUUUUCUCCUCGACUUCAACUUUGAAGAAGGAAGAUCUGUUUGGAUCCAUUACCUGGAGUAAUGGUAAACAUAGUGUUCGAAGUCCUUUUGUAUUAGCUAUGUAACUAAAUGUUCAUAAGAGAAAAAACUAUGUAGCUAAAUUAAAAGAAUUAUGAAUAAAUACAAGCUGAGUUCUUGUAGAUACCUACUCCUGUGUAGUUAAUGUUAUUUACCCUUUUUAAAAUUUUAUGUUAUUUUCUACUUACACGUUAAAUUUGUUCUAACUUACAUUACAGUAUGAGUUAAGUUGAUGUGAUGUUCAUAUUUUGUAAGUCAGAUAUAAUUUUAGCCAACUUACUUUUGGUGUGAAUAUGUCAAAACCUUGUUUGCAUAAAUAUUUUUGUUGCAAUAAUUCUAGGCUAGGAUACAGUAUGAACAACUUUUGGAUAAACAUCACGUUGGCCCCCAAAGUUAAUAUCGAAAUCAAUCAUACAUCAUAGCCAUGCAGAAUGAACUUAAUAAUGAGAGAACCAAACAUGCAUUGAGUCAAACAGCCAAAAAAAAUGAAAUCAACCAAACAAAAAAACAAAAAAUGAAAACCAAAUAUGUAUUGGAUCAAGCAGUUCUAAUGACAAAAAAAUGAUUAGUUGUAUAUAUACCUUGAGGCAAGUAAUUAGAAUCUGAACAAACUAAGAAGUACACAGUGCAUGUUUGGAUUCCUCUUCAGAACCCCAAAAUCUUGGUUUGAGGCUUUCCAAAAGAAAAUCAAACAGGCUAAUAAUAUAAAUCAGCAGAAGAAAAUCAUCACAAGGACCAAUUAGACCGAAGCAUUAACGCGGCUAUUUUGGAAUUUCCAUCCGUUGCGUAUGCAAGACCUGGCUUCAAGCAAAAUUUAUCACCCAUGUUAAAUUUUACAUAGGAUUCAGCCUGAAAAUGAUCUGCAGUCGCUGAAUCUCCAACUAUCCCGCCAAGACUCAUUCCCCAACCAAAUGAAUCUUCAGAAACAUCAGACAUGGUUACAGCCCAUUGUACAGAUUUUGGAUUUACUGUGUUCAUCUCAACCCAACCUCCAAGUUUUGUAAAGCCAUCGAGUUCAGACUCCAACACUAUAGCAGUAGAACCAGCUGCGACCUGUGUCCUUGCUCCUAUGAAUGGUGAUGUUUCAGGUUCUGUCUCAGACAUUUCAUGUUGAUCAGACAAGACUAUUGGAAUUGUAAAAGCUCCGAAUUUUCUAAGCUGCUUUGAUAACAAAGGCAGUUGGUGAACACCAAGAACAGAUAGCUUUGUUCCUCUUCGAAAUUGACACACAAGUUGUCCGAAUGUGCUGUAUCUAUUCUCCAUUGUAUUUGAACCAGAAGGCAUUCCCAGUCCAGCUACAAAUUGAGCCAAUGAAGCAAUAAAACAUGACUUUCUCACAGCUACGCCGAUAGCACUACCGUUAAGUAGAUUCAGAAGGGGCGGUCCAAAAGAGGAAAAAUCUGUGAGGCCUUUUCCUGGCUAAAUGGACACAACACCAUAUCAAUAUUUCAAAGGCCUAAUUAGCAAAAGGAAAACAACACAGUAGCAUUAUAAAUGACAUAUUUGUCUACUAGUUUCCUACCCUAAGCGCGACGGAUGUGUCAACAUGACAACAUAUACAGAAAUAAAUAAUAUAUCUAAGCUGAUUUUAGUUUUAAUAGGAUAAUAUUUUAAGGUUUCAACCUUUUUUUUUACGCAAAGUUUUUUAACCUAAUGCUCCAUUUAUAGUUAAGAAAGUCAUGAAUACAGAUACAAUGCACGAAAAUGGAGGUAAGCUCAACAAUUGCUACUUGAUACUUGAUCUGCAUGUGCCUCGACAACAGUAAUGUCCCUAUCCAAGAACACAUAUUUAGCAAAUUUAUGAAGGCUAUGUUCAUGUGAUUUUAACAACUAGCAUGCUGUUCCAAUGCUUUCCAAUACCUUUUACCCCAUUAUGACAGAUAACAACGGAUUACAGAACACAUGAUUUUGUACUCACAACUCUUCUAAAGUUUUCAUUCUGAUGUCAAUUUGGUGCCCUAUGUUUUUGUACUCUUGAGUCUCCUAAGUUCUCCUACCAGAAUCUUUUAUAUCAGAAUACCGAAUACCAAACUAAAUGCUAGUUGCAACUAGCAACAUAUUGUAACGGUGGACAUAGUUAAAUUCAUCAGAGAAGCAAACACAACUAAAUAGUACCUGAUCAAAAGAAUUUGAACCAACUGCAACAUCUCUACAUUGGGCUCCAACUGGAACAGCCAUCAGAGAUAACCAAUCAUUGACAUUUACUGUAUAACUGAGUUUUGCUAAAGAAAGUGGCAUUUCAAGGACAUCAAAACUAGGAUGUUCCUUUCCUUUUGGAGUGGCCACAAACUCUGCAGCAAGAGCACUCUCCUUACCGAUACUGGUUUCGAAAGCAAUCCUUGAAUCAAUGCCUGUUUUUAUUCCAGACCUGUUUAUGAUAUCUAAGUUUGGCUGAUUAAAGUCACCCAUGAUCAAUAAAGCCCCCAUGAAAUCCAUCUGUCCCCUUACGUGGGUGAUGGUUUCCUGAAAAGGACCUCCUUUGGAUGAUUUAUAGAAGGAAAGCAUCCUCUCGACCUUUUCUUGUCGGUCUCUGAGCUUCAUUAGAUCUGAGAAAGCUUCUCUUUGUAAACGUUUAAGGAUUUCAAUCUGAAAUUAUGAUUGCAAAAACAGAUGUCAAAACCACAUCACAGAGAAGCACCAAAGAACCGUGUAUCCUUUGUGUAUCCUUUGACGCACGCGCACAUACAUGUACAUACUUGGUAAUGGAUAAUGUAAUCAUUGGAAUGAAAAACAAUUUGUAACUUUUGCACAAACAUUAAAUUGAAAAGGAAUGUUUACUUUUUCGCUCUAUUUCACUCUUUUCUCUCUCCAAUAUUUCUGUUUUUUUCUCUCUUCUCACUCAUUCAUUCAUGCUAUUAAAUAAAUAUUAAAUUACUUCCAUUUUAAAUAGCACAUCUCUUUGAAAAAUCUAGAUGUUUUUGCUUUUUAAUAGGUGUACAUUAAUCAAUUGCAACUUUUCAUUUCUUUAAGAAGUAUUCGCCCUAGCAACACUCCUCACAUACAGAACAGAUGUUGCUAAUUUCAACUUUUGGUGAGUAAAACUGAUAAUAGAGAACCAAUGAAAAUUUCAAAAUCAUACUUACAUUAUCAUUUUCAGAACACCCUAUUCCUCAAAACACACCAUUAAAUUAUCAUUUUCAGACACAAUUUUUUUAAACUCUAACCCACCAUCAAAUAAUCUAUGGUCUAAUUCUAAAUACUAAUUUAAUACUGAUACGCCGUCUACCAAAUUACCGAUGAUAAAAAAUAUCAUCAUUCUACAUAAUUCUAUUUCCUCGUCUCCUUCUACAUUCCAACAAUUUUCUCAACCCCAAUUCAUAUAUGAUAAUUUUUUUUCCAAAAUAAAUUAUAUUAAAACCUAAAAGAAACAUAAAAGAAAGAGAGAGUACCGGAUUGCGGCGACGGAAAAUGGCGUCAAGAAAGUGCUGGCCGGAUUUAGCAAAAGCUUUAAAUUGGUCGCCAACAGAGUCCAUUAUUACUCCACUGAACUAACAAAAGCUCACUGUAUAAGCUAUCAUGCGCACGGUGCAAAACCUCUUUGUUUUGUCUUCGUUAAAGACGAAGAGAGAAUUUCAUUCGCCAAAUAAAAAGGACAAGCGCAGUUCAACUGUACGGUGUAUGUUGCGGUUCGGUUCUGUUCUGUUCUGUUUUCGGUGGUCGGUUCUUUUUGACGGUUUUGUUUAACGGUUUAACAAUCCAAAGGGUUUGUUUUCUUGUAAGUUUUUGGGCUUUGACCCAUUGGUUAGAUAAGCCCAUUUUAGUAUCACCAUUUUAUGGGGAUAUUUCCCUAGUGUAUUCUCAAAAAUUCUCAAAAUUUAUCUGUUUUGUCAAUUUUAAUUUUUUAUAAAUUAACUAAUUCAAUCAUAAUUUAUUUUAAUUUCUCAAUUUAAAUAUGUAAAUAUUAAUUUGAAAUUUUUCAUAAUUUUUUACACUUCUGAAUUAAUUUAAAGGUAUAAAAAACUUUUAAAUUUAUGUUUUACGAUUUUAAAUUGACUAAUUUAAAAGUGUAAAAAAUCCUGAAAAUUAAAAAAUUAGUAUUUAUGUUUCAUAAUUAACUCCGAACAAAUCUCUUCUUGAUUAGUCAAUCCUAAGAGGAUUAAAAUAUGAUAAAAUAAAAGAAUUAGAAACUAGAUAUUUUUUAAAACAUAAUAGGAUGGAAAAAGAAAUUUCUUUUUUAUAAGUCCUUUAAGUUUGGAACUAUUGAGAUAUUGGUCAUGACAAACCACUUUUUUCUUCUUUAGAUUAGAUUAUCUCACCAAAUCUUUUUAUAGUCAAUUCAUAUUUUUAAAAAAAAAAAAGGCUCUUGUAUAAAAAGGGAGGUGGAAAAAGAAAUUCUCCCAUGUAAAAAUACAGUUUACUCUUAGAGAAAAAAAUUGUAUUUUUUCAUCAAAUAUAAAUUGUUCAAGUGACUUCAAGAGUAAAAGAAUAAGCUCUUUUGUAAAUUAACCCAAAAAACUUCAAUUUCCUGCACAUGGACUAAGAAUCAAAACUAAAAACAAUAUCAGAUAUAUGGUGAUAUCGACCAAACCCUUACCUUUUUCUUUAGAAAAGAAAUUGUAAAAGUUUUUCAAGCAUUAACUCAAGGGAGUGAAGAUAAAGAAAUGCUAAAAAUAUAAGGCAUGUGCUAUAUAAAAAUUCAUAUAUCUUCAAAUUUACAUAAAGUAAAUGAUCCAACCACUUCAUUUAUUUAUUGUGCACUAUUAGAAAGUUAUAUAUUUUAAAUUGUGGAGACGGAUUAAUGAACUUGAAUUUGGAGUUCUUUCAAAAGAAUUUGUGUAAAGUUUUGUUGAGGAGAUCACGAACAAGAAUCUGAUACGUUUUCUCUGUGGGAUGAAAUGCAUCCCAAAACACAUGUUUAGAAUCAUCUAUGCAAGUUGGUUGCAACUGAUUACAUAGUGUACCUAGUUCUAUAGUUCCUGUGCCACAACAUCCCUUGUCAACAACUUCAAAACCUAUAAAUAAAUGAAAAUGAUUUAUUUAAAUGUAAGAAUCAUUUACGGUAAAUGUGUUAAAUACAAAUGAAGUAUAUAUUCUUACCAUAUUUGAUAGGAUUUUCAAUGAUAUGAAGCAAAGGGUUGUAAAUAUCAACAUAAACCACAUUGGCUUGAGGCAAAUUUUGAUUUAGGUGGUCAAUUUGUGUAGAUAGUUUAAUGUUAAACAACUGUGAUGCUGAGUUUAUUUCUUGUGAACACUUUCUCUCCUCAUCUCCAAAUAGCGUUCGCUCAAAUGGUACGCAUCCAAGUGGAGCAGCAUCAAACACCCCUAUUCUCCUUGCCCCCAAUCCAUAUAUGUCCUUGGUAUGUUCAACAAAGGACAAUCAAAAUUCAUUCAAAGAAUAGCUAAUUGGUUACAUUAAUUAAUGAUAUAAAGGGAAGUGAGAUUGAGAUUACCUUAAUGAAAGUGGAGGCAAAGUGCACCAACAUAUCAGUGUAAGAGCCAAUAUCAUAUUGGACUUGCCUAAUUCUAGUUGCAAAAUAAGAAAUGCCAAUGUCGUUGUUACUUGCUACUACAAGUACUAAACUUUUGGACAAGAUGAAUUUUGUUCUUUCUUCUCCAAAAUUUCCUUUUAGCUUUUCUAUGUAUUCCUUGAAUUGCUUCAGUUGAUCAGAUAAUGGUAUCACUGACUGCAAGCACUAAGCAACUUAGAAGUUUUAAAUAUAUCGUAUCCCAAACUAUUAAGUGAGAAAUAUGGAAAUAUAAUUUUAAUAGAAAAAUAUUAUAAUUUAUUUUUUUGUGUGAUGAAUUUAAUUGGUCUAAACUAUUAAGUGAUCAUAUAGUUUGCUGGCAUAUUAAUUAAUAUACGAGCUACCUGUAAUUGUGGAGUCAAAGGAUCAUAUCCAGAGGCACCCGAUGCAAAACUAACACCUGUAAGGAGAUCGUUUGAUUGUAAAUCGGAACUCCUAUAUGAUGGUAUCAAAUCUUUUAUUCCCAAUUCUUCCGCUGCAUGACCAAAAUGAGGAUAAAUGUGUUGAUUUUCGAAUUAGUCUUCUUUAAAAAAAUAAAAAAUAAAGGGAAUCAUAAGCAAUGUCAUCACUUUCUUUAAAAUAAUAUUUAUCAUUCUUUUCUCAAUGAAACCCUGCAACCUUUUCGACUUAUCACAUAUUAGAAAAAUGUAAGUAACAACAAAGUUAAAGAUAAAAAAAAAUCUUUAAUUUGUUUGUCAUUAAAUUAAAUAAUAAAAUCAAAGAUAAAUUUAUAUUUUCUCAAUUACUUUUUGUUAUUAAAGUAACAUUUUCUAUUAUUAAACUUAUUUUGCAAGUCCUACACUGGUCUAUUAGGCACAUAAAUAAUUAAUAUAGCUCAUUUGAUCAAAUUUAAAAUAGUAUAUUAAUAAAUUAGAUAAAAAUAGUUCGAAUUAAGUAUGUAAUUUGUUUAAAAUAGUUUUUUUUACAAAAACAUAACAUCUUAUUAUGCUCUCCAUUUUUUAAAAUGUUCUUCUAUGUAAUAUUUUGAAUGUAGAAAAUAAAAAAAUAAAAAAAAAUAACAUAACAUAGCCCAUCAAAUAAUGUAAAAACAAUAAUUUUUUAUCAUAGUAAAUGUAAUGAGAUUGUUGGAUUCAAGUGUGAAUGAUUAAAUUUCACAUUGACUAAGAAUGUCUUAAUUGUUGGAUAUAUAAGAGUGGUGACCUAUAUACCUAUUGUCUUCAGAUUUUGGGUGAAGAUGUGAUGUCAAAGUCUCUCGUGGAUCCUGUAGCAUUUGAUUUAUUGUUGUUCAACACAUCCUCGAACUCCCUAACAAGUGCUAUCAAAUUGAUGGUUCAAUUUGGUAGGGGAGAUUCUCGUGUUGGAUCCUUGUAUCGAAAUUCUUCUUGAUCUUGUAGUCAUGAGGUGUGUCUCGUUGAUAAUAACGGUGGUGCAAGUAUAUAGAAUGUGUGAAACUCACAUUUGUGAAUUUGUGAGAGAGAUUGUUAGAUUCAAGUAUGAGUGGUUAAGUCAUAUAUCGGCUAAGAAUGAGCUAAUUGUUGGAUAUAUAAGAAUGGUGACUCAGAUACCUAUUGCCUUAGAAUUUUGAAUUGAGAUAUGAUGUCAAAAUUUCUUAUAAUCGGUCCCAAAAUAUUUAGCUUUAUUGCUACUCCUGAACUCUCAUGUCAUAAUAUCAUUAAGGAUGUAAAGACAGCGGGGCACGAGCAUAUAGACCCGUGGACAUAAAAAUAAUGACAUUUCUCUUUCUUUUUUUUAUCAAAUUGAUAGUAUUGUUUCAAAAAAUCAAAUUGGUGGUAAAAAAAAAAUUAACCAUAAAACAAAUAUAAACUUGUGAUAUUAUUAUGAUUCUCACUUAAUGACAUCUCUAAAUGUCAUUUACCAUUUUUUAAUAUCUACUGAAAUAAUUUUUUGUCGGAUUUUUUUUCUUUCUGAAAUUCGAAUUAGUAAGACUAAUUACCACUACCUAAGAAUAUUAUAGGGUUAAGAUAAUAAAUAAAUAAAAUAAAAUGUACCUAUGAAAUCGGGAGGAACUCUGCCGUUGGAAAAUCUUCCUGUUGGUUUUCCGCCGAGGAAAUCCCUCCCAUAAGGAAGGAAAUUGCAUUUAGCUUCUGUUAUUAGGUCAUUGUUACUUCCUGUGUCAACGAUUGAAUCACCAAAUACAAUCAGUGCCGGGAAUGUUACUGUUUCAUUGCCUCCCAUCUUAAUAUUAAUAUCCUCUGUCGUACAACAAACAAGGAUACACAAAACACAACAAACAAACACCGCAAUUAUUUUGGACAUCAUUACCAAAUUGAGCACGCUUAUGCAUGUAUGUAUGUACUCUAUCAUUUUUUCUUCUUUAUAUAGUAAUGUGGAUCCAACAUCAUAUAGAGGCUUAUAAUUCAUUGUGUGGCUAGUUAGUUCAGGUCAUUUAUUGGUCAUAUACAAGCACGGCAUAUUUAGUUCAGGUCAUUUAUUGAAGUACUGUUUAUGCUUUGAAAAGUGUUGUUUUAGGACACGUGUUAAUUAUUUAAAUAGAGAAGUUUUAUUUUAAAAUUCAUAUUUUCAACUCUUUGAAGGUUUAAUUUUUUUUUUAAUAAAAUAUUUCUAUUUUUAAUAUCUUUAACAUGUGCCCUAAGAGUAAGGGCAUAUAGUAAUUGACAUCCCUCUUAUUCUUUUUCAAUAGAUUUCAUGAUUGUUUUUCAUAAAUUAAUUGUUUUAAUUUAAAGCAGACAAAUACUUUAUUUGUAUCUAAUUAUAAGUCUUUAUUCAAACACACUCACCAUGUGAUAUUCAAUACCUAUUGAUCACAAGAUAGACAUUUCACGACUCAUCCUAAUACCAUUCAACUAAGAUUUUAUAAAUCAAUGGAAGCAACCCUUAAAAAUACAAUUUCUUACAUAUAACACUUAAAAUCAACUUUAUUUACUUUCAUGGUAUAAAUAAGAAUUAAACACAUUGUUUCAAACUUUUAAAUGACACAAAUUUUAUGUCAAAACACUAUUUAUAACUCAAUAUUAUUACCGGAAGUAGUUGAUUUGAGCAACAAAUGUAAUAUCUCACUUUAAACACGUUGAUGAUUUGUUUACUAUGUUAGAUAUUGAAUUUCGUUUUUUUAUAAAUAAUACAGUUUUAUGUCUUUUUAUUAAUUUUCAAAUAUUAUAAAAACGUCUUAAUAUUAAUUGUUCAAAUGAGUUUUAUUUCAUUUCAAAAUGACAUUUACAGUUUGUUCAAUAUUAUCUUCAACCAUUUUAAUAUUUACACAUAAAGUAAUUUUUUUUUAUAUAACUCUCAAUUAAAAUUCGAUUCAUUUAAUUCAUGAAUCAAAUUCAACGAUGUAAUUAUCAAAUAAAGUCUUGAACUAAUUUCAACACACACAAAAUGAUACUGUUUUCUUCUUUUAUCAUAAUAUUUUCAAAAGUCUCUAAUAUUUAUUUAAAUUGAAUAAUCUAAAAGUAUAAAAUAUACAUUAUUGAUCAAUGAUUAAUGGUGUUGACUCAAUUACAUUUAUUAGCUAAACAAGUUUAAAAAGCAUUCGCGGAAUUAAAAGAACCUCUCUGAAUGAUGUAUUUAUUUACGCCGAUAAAUUAACAGAUAAAAUACAAAUGCAUAGAAGAAAUUUAAAUAACCAAAAAAAGAAAAAUAAUGCACGUGAGUCCUUCAAUUUAUUUUAUUAUUCAUUUUAUAGUUUUUCACAUACUUAAUUUAUAAUUAAAAUUUACGAUGCGGAAUUAAUUUUAAGAUAAGUAGGUAGUAUUUCAGUAUUAAGUAAGAAAAGUUUUUGGUUCAAAGAGCAAUUAAUUUCAUAACUUGGUUUGCCAUGAGUUUGUCUAAAAUAUCCUCAUUAAAUCUUUUGUGGUGCAAUGCUCUAAGUAAUGCAUAUGGCUAGUAUUUUCUUCAAUUAAUCAAAUGUUUUCAUCCACUUUCUCUUAUGACAAUAAUUCUUACCGUUCAACCUCUGCAUCUGAUUGUGUAAGUGAUCAACCUACAAUCUUUUGUGGGGGAGCAAAUUAAAAGAGAGAAGUGAUUGAAGCCUCUGUCACUUGCAAGGUGGUUCUAAAUGGACAAUAUUUCGUGGAUAUAUAAAAUUCAUCGUCAUAAGCUUUUCACAUGCCCUUUUACUCUAUUUUUACAUUUUAUAAUUAUAAAUAAUGUUGAAGUUGUAGUUAUUUGUUAUAUAUACAUGACCAAAAAAGCUAAUAAACUAGUUUUUCCAUUGGCGUUCAAUAAAAAUAAAUGACGUAAUUAUUUUAAAAAGCAGUUAUAAAAUAUAAUUUUUUGAUAAGAUAUAUAAUGAGAUAAUAAGUUAUAACAAAAAGAUAAAAUAAAUAAAAAAUUAGAUUGUACAAUAUGUAUACAUGAAUGUAUAUUAUAAAAUUGUAGAAUUAUGUAGUUUUUAUUUAAUAAGAUGUAUAUCAAUUUUUCUAUCAGUCAAGUGAUAAAUAAUGAAUCCUUUAAAAGAAAAAUAAUAAAUGAUGAAUAAAAUAUUUGAUACUUAUAUUAUUUUUUAAUUUAACAACCAUACUAAUUAAUUGUGUAAACAAGUUUACUAGACAUCUAACUAUAUUUUACCAUAACAAGUAUUUGUGAAUGUUGUUUUUAAAAUAAAAUAUUUUAUAAUAUGUCAAUUGAAAUCAUGUUUCUUAAAACAUGAUUUUACGAAAUAAAACUUCACCAGUCUUGAACUUUUUUUCUAGGAAUUUAAAUCAUAUCUCUUAUUCUUUUUCUCUUUCCCACACCACUCAAAUAAAAACAUGACAUUUCAUGAAAUAAAAAAUUUUGUGAAGAAAUAUUAACUUCUAAAAUGAAAGUAAUAUUUUUAUAUUGAAAUUUUAUGUUUUCGUCGAAGAUAUAAAAUAUAAAAAAGACAUAAUUAUAAUUGAAAUAUUUUGCUAGUAACAAUUAGUUUAACAAAUAAUCCAUUUAAUCAAUGGAAGGCUCUUGAUAAAUAAUUUUAACAAGUCCCUGUUGAGACCAAAUUUAAUCAACUAGUGGACACGGUUUACCAAAAUGCUUGUCUAGUAAGAUAAUCAUGUUUCUCCGCAAUAUACAAUACAAAAUGAUUAGUUUCUAUUUUGGCCACCCUUCUUCCACAAACCAAUAAGAAGCCAAUAAUUACAUAACAAUUUUCGUACAAGCCCACUUACAUUACAUGUCAUGAACUCAUGAUAUAGUAAAUAAAUUAUGUGCGGCAGAGGUUCUUACAAUCUUUGAUUAGAAAUAACAUUCUGCCAAUUUUUUCAAAGACAGUGAACUAUUCCGGCUAAUUGAAAAGAUAGGGAAAGUUUGUCACUCACCCAAUCUUAUGGAUCUUAUUACGCUAAAUAGUAUGUGAUUCUUUAAUUUAAUUUUAGUUAAUAUUUUUUUUAUUUUAAGUGAUAAUUUAAUCUUUUAUUUUUUUAAAUAUCAGUAAUGUUAUUUUUUUUAUGCAAAAAUUCAUUAAAAAUUUUAAACAAAACCUAUUAAAUUAAUUAUCAUUCACAAUAUAAUGCAAAUUUUAUUAAAAUCAUAAUUUAAAUCUUUAAAUAAAUUCAUUUUUCAUCUCUAACAAUAUCAAAUAAAGAAUGAAAAUAUGAGUUUAUUUGAAUAUUUGAGUUACGAAUUUGAUAAAUUUUGUAUUAUACUAAAAAAAUAUAAUUAGUUUUAUAGGUUUUGUUUGAAAAUUUUGAUAAAAACUUUAAAUUUUUGUAAAAAAAUAUAACAUUGUUGAUAUUUUAAAACAUAAAAAAUUAAAUUGUCAUUUAAAAUUAAAAUAAAACAUCAAAUAAAUAAAUAAAUAAAAUAUUAACUAAAAUUAAGUUAAGAGAAACGCGUGCUAUUUAAUUUAGUUUAUGUUAUUAUUAUUAUAUAUACAGAGUUGCUUUAGUUUCUAAAAGACUCCUAUACACGUCGGUGAUGUUUUUCCUUCUUCAAAAAAAUACUCUUCUCGUAAUUAUUGUAAGAUAUAUUCAUAAUAUAUGGUAACAUGUGAUGGGAUGUUAUAUUUUUUACUCAAAAGUGUAUAACAAAUAAUUUUGUUGUUGAUAUAUAUCUUUUAUGAUCAAAAGGGGCUAAGCCCCAAGAAUCUCAAAACUAAAACCCCCCAAAGAAAAAAAAUACAAGCAUCAUAUCGCAUCCAACAAAUGAUUGUGGUGUGAUCAUCUUCUUCUAAUUGUCUUGAGUAUUGGUGAUAGAUAGGUGAUUCUAGUGGUGUAGUAGUUGUAUUUUGUUUGAUUUAAAAUUAUGAAACAUAAGUUUUUGGAAUUGGAUCAAGAAUCCCAAUUUUUUAAUAUGACUGGUGGAUGAUGAUGUUUUCUUGUGUUCCUUUUGUGCAAGGAUUUUUGUGGUGUGUUUUUUGUUGUUUUCUUUGUUGGUAUCUUAUGCAAGUUCACAUUCAUAGGGGUCCAUCUGAAAAAUGGACACCACAUAUAAUAAUAUGGAGUUGAGUUGAGUCCACAAAAAGGCCGAGCUGAAAGUCAAUGAAGAAUGUUGCACAAUUCUACUUUCAAUGGAUAUGGAGACCAGUUCAAGAUACUCCUAUCAUC